CCUACGGGGGGCAGCAGUGGGGAAUAUUGCACAAAGGGGGAAACCCUGACGCAGCAACGCCGCGUGAGCGAAGAAGGCCUUCGGGUCGUAAAGCUCUGUCCUAAGGGAAGAAAAAUGACGGUAGCUUAGGAGGAAGCCCUGGCUAUCUACGUGCCAGCAGACGCGGUAAUACGUAGGGGGCGACCGUUAGCCGGAAUCACUGGGCGUAAGGGGCGCGUAGGCGGCCAAUUAAGCCAGGGGUGCAGGGAUACGGACCAACCGGAGUCAGCCUUUGGAACUGACUCGCUUUAUUGCAGGAAUGGCGAGUGGAGUGCCUAGUGAAGCGGUGAAAUGCGGUGUGCUUAGAUAGAACACCAGUGGCGAAGACGACAAUCUGGACUGUAACUGACGCUGAGUCCCGCCAGCGUGGCGUUCCGACUGGAUUUGCUACCCCUCUUGUC
rnacentral:rRNA from 1 species